rnacentral:rRNA from 1 species
GGAGGUUGUGCCCUUGAGGCGUGGCUUCCGGAGCUAACGCGUUAAAUCGACCGCCUGGGGAGUACGGCCGCAAGGUUAAAACUCAAAUGAAUUGACGGGGGCCCGCACAAGCGGUGGAGCAUGUGGUUUAAUUCGAUGCAACGCGAAGAACCUUACCUACUCUUGACAUCCAGAGAACUUAGCAGAGAUGCUUUGGUGCCUUCGGGAACUCUGAGACAGGUGCUGCAUGGCUGUCGUCAGCUCGUGUUGUGAAAUGUUGGGUUAAGUCCCGCAACGAGCGCAACCCUUAUCCUUUGUUGCCAGCGGUUCGGCCGGGAACUCAAAGGAGACUGCCAGUGAUAAACUGGAGGAAGGUGGGGAUGACGUCAAGUCAUCAUGGCCCUUACGAGUAGGGCUACACACGUGCUACAAUGGCAUAUACAAAGAGAAGCGACCUCGCGAGAGCAAGCGGACCUCAUAAAGUAUGUCGUAGUCCGGAUUGGAGUCUGCAACUCGACUCCAUGAAGUCGGAAUCGCUAGUAAUCGUAGAUCAGAAUGCUACGGUGAAUACGUUCCCGGGCCUUGUACACACCGCCCGUCACACCAUGGGAGUGGGUUGCAAAAGAAGUAGGUAGCUUAACCUUCGGGAGGGCGCUUACCACUUUGUGAUUCAUGACUGGGGUGAAGUCGUAACAAGGUACCAAGGGCGAA